rnacentral:rRNA from 1 species
CGAUCUAGCGUAUUCUUUACAAGGUCCGGGGAUAGGGUUCGAUUCCGGAGAGGGAGCCUGAGAAAGGCUAAACAUCCAGGAAGGCAGCAGGCGCGCAAAUUCCCCAAUCCCAACACGGGGAGGUAGUGACAAUAUGUAACAAUAUACGGCCUUAUACGUCGUAUAAUUGGAAUGAUCCUACCCAAAUCCCUUAAAAGGACCUUUGGGGGGCAUUCGGGCCCCCACCCCGAUUUUUCCCUCCCAUAGCAUAUUUAGUUUUUGCUUAAAAAAGUGAAUUGGGUCGGCGGGGGGGCGGUCCAUAAAAAAAAGUUGCCC